GCAUGGGUGAUGCUUUCCAUGCAGUCGAGCGGCAGCGCGGGGGCAACCCUGGCGGCGAGCGGCGAACGGGUGAGUAAUGCAUCGGAACGUACCCAUUUGUGGGGGAUAACUAUCCGAAAGGAUAGCUAAUACCGCAUAAGUCCUGAGGGAGAAAGCGGGGGAUCGCAAGACCUCGCGCGAAUGGAGCGGCCGAUGCCGGAUUAGCUAGUUGGUAGGGUAAAGGCCUACCAAGGCGACGAUCCGUAGCUGGUCUGAGAGGAUGAUCAGCCACACUGGAACUGAGACACGGUCCAGACUCCUACGGGAGGCAGCAGUGGGGAAUUUUGGACAAUGGGCGCAAGCCUGAUCCAGCCAUUCCGCGUGAGUGAAGAAGGCCUUCGGGUUGUAAAGCUCUUUCGGCAGGAACGAAACGGUGGGGGUUAAUACCCCCUGCUAAUGACGGUACCUGAAGAAGAAGCACCGGCUAACUACGUGCCAGCAGCCGCGGUAAUACGUAGGGUGCGAGCGUUAAUCGGAAUUACUGGGCGUAAAGCGUGCGCAGGCGGUUCUAUAAGACAGAUGUGAAAUCCCCGGGCUUAACCUGGGAACUGCGUUUGUGACUGUAGGACUCGAGUGUGGCAGAGGGGGGUGGAAUUCCACGUGUAGCAGUGAAAUGCGUAGAGAUGUGGAGGAACACCGAUGGCGAAGGCAGCCCCCUGGGUCAACACUGACGCUCAUGCACGAAAGCGUGGGUAGCAAACAGGAUUAGAUACCCUGGUAGUCCACGCCCUAAACGAUGCGAACUAGGUGUUGGGGAAGGAGACUUUCUUAGUACCGCAGCUAACGCGUGAAGUUCGCCGCCUGGGGAGUACGGUCGCAAGAUUAAAACUCAAAGGAAUUGACGG
rnacentral:rRNA from 1 species